AUACCAGCACAUACCCCCCCUCUUUUGUGAAACAUUUCAUUUAUAGAAGUUCCAACAUUUUCAAGAACCCCACUCAAUUUAGUCCAUUAUCAACCAUAUGUACUGGGUGGCCUGUUCCAGUAAAACAGAGGAUGAAAGGCAAGAAAAGUGGGAAAGUUUGGCAAACCAUAUUGUCAAUAUUCACAUCCAUAAGGAAAACAAGGUUUUUGUCAAGUGCACUCAUGAAGUUGUGGAAAGGCAGUGGUUGAAGCAAGGAUCAGCAGCUCAUAAGAAAUUGUCUGAGUUGAUCACAAGGCCAAGGCUAAUUAGUGCUGUUAGGAAGCUUUCAAACUAUCAUCAAACUUCAGGCUUAGAAGCCAAACAUUCACUUGAUAAUGUUUUUGCAUCAAA